rnacentral:rRNA from 1 species
UACAGAGGGUGCAAGCGUUAAUCGGAAUUACUGGGCGUAAAGCGUGCGUAGACGGUUACAUAAGUCGGGUGUGAAAGCCCCGGGCUCAACCUGGGAAUUGCAUUCGAGACUGCGUAGCUAGGGUGCGGAAGAGGGAAGCGGAAUUUCCGGUGUAGCGGUGAAAUGCGUAGAUAUCGGAAGGAACACCAGUGGCGAAAGCGGCUUCCUGGUCCAGCACCGACGUUCAGGCACGAAAGCGUGGGGGGAGCAAACAGGAAUUGAGAAACCCC